UCGGGAAUUUUGGGCAAUGGGCGAAAGCCUGACCCAGCAACGCCGCGUGAAGGAUGAAGUAUUUCGGUAUGUAAACUUCGAAAGAAUAGGAAGAAUAAAUGACGGUACUAUUUAUAAGGUCCGGCUAACUACGUGCCAGCAGCCGCGGUAAUACGUAGGGACCAAGCGUUGUUCGGAUUUACUGGGCGUAAAGGGCGCGUAGGCGGCAAUUCAAGUCAUCUGUGAAAUCUCCGGGCUUAACUCGGAACGGUCAGAUGAUACUGCUUUGCUAGAGUGCAGAAGGGGCAAUCGGAAUUCUUGGUAUAGCGGUGAAAUGCGUAGAUAUCAAGAGGAACACCUGAGGUGAAGACGGGUUGCUGGGCUGACACUGACGCUGAGGCGCGAAAGCCAGGGGAGCAAACGGGAUUAGAUACCCGGGUAGUCCCUGAGCGGGCUGGCAAGGCGCAU
rnacentral:rRNA from 1 species